rnacentral:rRNA from 1 species
GAUGAAUGCUGGCGGCGUGCUUAACACAUGCAAGUCGAACGGUGAAGCAGGAGCUUGCUCUUGUGGAUCAGUGGCGAACGGGUGAGUAACACGUGAGCAACCUGCCCCUGACUCUGGGAUAAGCGCUGGAAACGGCGUCUAAUACUGGAUAUGUGAUGUGACCGCAUGGUCUGCAUCUGGAAAGAAUUUCGGUUGGGGAUGGGCUCGCGGCCUAUCAGCUUGUUGGUGAGGUAAUGGCUCACCAAGGCGUCGACGGGUAGCCGGCCGGAUAGGGUGCCGGGCCACACUGGGCCUGAGACACGGCCCAGACUCAUAUGGGAGGCAGCAGUGGGGAAUAUUGCACAAUGGGCGGAAGCCUAAUGCAGCAACGCCGCGUGAGGGAUGACGGCCUUCGGGUUGUAAACUUCUUUUAGCAGAGAAGAAGCGAAAGUGACGGUACCUGCAGAAGAAGCACCGGCUAACUACGUGCCAGCCGCCGCAGUAA